rnacentral:misc_RNA from 1 species
AAGUCGUAACAAGGUUUCCGUAGGUGAACCUGCGGAAGGAUCAUUAACAAUAAUAUUAUAUUAUAAUUUAUACCGAGGAAAUAUAACCGUUAGGUUAUAUUUGCUUGGAAUAAAUUAGAUAUUAAUCAAUGAUAUCCACCCUUUCAAAUGUGAAACUUGUUUAAACGUAGUUUAUGACUUUCUGGUUAGGUGUUUUGAAUCUUUUGAGGUUUGAAACGAUAAAUUGCCUACCAGAAGUUUUUCUGUUUAAAACUAACUUUGCUAAAUUAUUUGUUGAAUUAAUCAAUCAUUCUUUUAUGGAUGAAUAAACUUAAUACAACUUGCAACAAUGGAUCUCUUGGCUCUU